ACGUGAAGCUCGCCCUGGCAACCCCACGUGCUGCGGAUUAGUGCACUUCCGGCGUGCAGAGCUGCCUGCAGUCGACUGUUUGAAGCUUCGCAGUGUUCCCGGGCGAGAUGCAUCCUCAUCUUCAGUUCGGCGCCCAGUUGACCUUGGGGACGACUAUUAGGACCAGAGCUCUGGAUUCCCAAAGCCUCAGGACCUAACUGAUAUCAGGCACUAUGCUCAUUCUACAAAGAGAUCAUGUUUGCAGAGUACUGACCACCAUCCAGGAAGAGAAGCUUUGUUUCUGAUGAGAACCUACUUCUGACCUACUGAAAGCUACAACUGCAAACAUAUGCACUGAGUGUCAUUAACACUGUUUCUUGAGGGGGAGUACGGUUCUGAGUGAAUCUGAAUGUGGGAAAUGAGGGAGAGAUGAUAUCUGAAAACCUCUGUAAGUUGCCUCAUGCUGCCUAAUAAAGAAUGAAUAAAGUAAGGAA
rnacentral:lncRNA from 1 species